ACGAAGCCAUUUUUGGCAUCUAUUCUUUCAUUUCUGUGAACUUAUCUAUUGCUUUGGGUGGGUUGUGUUUUAACACUCUCACCCAAAUUUUAAAACUCUAAACAUUUAUUGAUUGUCUGACAGAUUAAAUAAAAAAAUUAAUCA
rnacentral:misc_RNA from 1 species